UACGGAGGAUGCGAGCGUUAUCCGGAUUUAUUGGGUUUAAAGGGUGCGCAGGCGGCUUUUUAAGUCAGUGGUGAAAUCCCGAAGCUUAACUUCGGACUUGCCAUUGAAACUGGGGAGCUUGAGUAUAGAUGAAGUAGGCGGAAUUCGUUGUGUAGCGGUGACAUGCUUAGAUAUAACGAGGAACUCCGAUUGCGUAGGCAGCUUACUAAGCUAUAACUGACGCUCAUGCACGAAAGCGUGGGGAUCAAACAGG
rnacentral:rRNA from 1 species